GACGAACGCUGGCGGCGUGCUUAACACAUGCAAGUCGAGCGGUAAGGCCCUUUCGGGGGUACACGAGCGGCGAACGGGUGAGUAACACGUGGGUGACCUGCCCUCAGCUCUGGGAUAAGCCUGGGGAAACCGGGUCUAAUACCGGAUAUGACUCCAUGACGCAUGUUGUGGGGUGGAAAGCCUUGUGCGGCUGAGGAGUGGGCCCGCGGCCUAUCAGCUUGUUGGUGGGGUGAUGGCCUACCAAGGCGACGACGGGUAGCCGGCCUGAGAGGGCGACCGGCCACACUGGGACUGAGACA
rnacentral:rRNA from 1 species